GCCUGGGCAGCUCAGUCGGUUGAGCAUCUGACUUCAGCUCAGGUCAUGAUGUUGUAGUUUGUGGGUUCGAGCCCUGCAUCGGGUU
rnacentral:tRNA from 1 species